UUACAGAGGAGCAGUCUCAUGAGGAGAGCACAAGAUGAAGGUGUAACCUUCUUCAUCCUCCUUGGCCCAUUGCUUUAGCUGCUCACUGGUGACCUGGCCUCCAAGACCUUUCCAAACAUCUGUUACAUCUUUUUCCAAAUCACAGAAUUGCUGAAAUGCUGAUACGGUGCUGUGCUCAUUCUUCUUCCCCAUUAACUGUGCUCUCUGAACAAAGAAAGAGGGGGAUUUCGACGUCUCCUUGCUUAAGCUAAUCUGGCUAAGUGGCAGAGUGGCACAUCUGACUCCUGGUCCAUUACCCAGAGCAACUGUGGGAGCCUGGAGGGAAGAAGGCGAACGUCUGAGACGGUAGUUGGGAGCAGAGAGAACCUGAAAAGGCCAUCAGACCAGAAUUCCUUCCAGUUUAGGGAGUCCGGAGUCCGGAGUGGGUGUGGCUCUAUGACACACAACCCGAAGGCUUGGAUGGACGUUCAGGCAUGUACCUACUCACUUUGAAUCCUCUUGUGCAGCUGAGCACUGGCGCUCAGACUCGGCCUCUCAGGUCCUGUGAAGUUUCUGGGCGGCAGAGUUGGAACCAACUUCAAACUAGUUUAAGUCUCUGAGUCAGUUCACAAACCCUCCCUCUCCGGCUCCGGCUCGGGCUCCGUGAUCAGCCUUUUGCAUCACAUCCUAGGAGCGUUUCUGUUCUUUUGCGCUCCUUUUGGGGGCUCCUCCCUCUGCUCUCCCUCAGUCUCUCUGCACUGCCUCCCCCCCGCAACAAUCUCUCCUGACCACCCCGUGUCUACUCCACCCGCCUUCCCACCAUCAGGGCCUCCGUGCCUCUCGGCCACCCCCCUCCAGCCCCCCCCCACCCCCCGCCCAUAGUCCUCUCCCGGGCACCUACCUGGGCUCUGCAGCCACAGGCACCUCCUUGGUUCUGUCUGUCUGUCUGGGGCCGCCUGCCUCCAUCCAGGGCCUGGGAGCCAUGAAAGUCUUCAAGCUCUUUGUUACUUUUCCUCCUUCGUUUAUCUUGCUAGGUAAUUAAUAGCAAACAAUAAAAGAUGGCAUCAGCUGUGGUGCUCGGCUGCAGCCUCCAGAAGUGUUAUCUCAGACCCCAACAUUGCAACAAAGAAAUCUCACAGUUGGGUCAAGCGCGAAAAUCAGAGGACAGGAGGAGAAAACUUCAGCUUCCCAAAUUCCACUGCCCUCCGGGGGCUCCCCCUUGUGGGAGAUGCGGGGCAUGGCAAGGCAGGACCCGGUCGGGCCGGUGCCUCCGCGGGAGGAGGGCCAGAGAGCAGAGUGCACGCACCCCAAGGCUGUGGAGUCCGGCCCCAGGCACGAAGAACCGGCCUCUGUGUGAGGUGCAGGGCUGAGACCCUCCGUAAUUAAUCGGGGGACUAUUCGGGCGAGACAGAGCUCUCCGUGCCUGGAGGUCUCUGAGUCCAGGUGAGUGUGGCCUGAGUCACGGGCUUGCACAGCGGACGCUCUGUAUAGGAAGUGGUGAUUGGCAACCAUUUGCCUCCGCUUCAUUGUCCAGUUCCCUCCCUGGCACAGAUGUAUCAUAAAGUCGGACAUUCACACGGGGCUGUUCUGCGGAGACAGGCGUGGUCUCCGCCGUCUGAGUCAAGAGUGAAGGUCCAGUCUCCUGGACUCUCACCAGUGUGGGCACACGGCCUUUUGGAGACCUGGCAAUGCAGGGCUCCCCACCUUGGUGGGAACAGACUGUAUGUCCAAACAGUAUCUUUCCCGGGAGAGACAGAGUCUCAUUCAUUCUCCCCUACCCUGGCAGGCAGGUAGGAAAUCAAAUAUAUUAAUUACUCUUUCUGCAAACAGAACCAGAGGCUCAGGCAACCAAGUAAGGUGUCCAAGGCACUAGGAAGACUGUCAGUGGAGUUAAGGCCUAGCUUUCCUGCCUUCCCCCUGCUCGGUGUGUCUAGACUACAUGCUCUGUCUCCGGAGAGAAGGGGAAAUGAUGCUCACUGCCCUUCCUCAGUGCAGGGCAAUGAGCGGCACCAUUAAGGAGUACCGAUUGACUCCCCAGCCACGAGGACAGUGUGCUGGGUAUGACACAGAUAGAGAGUCCCAGACAGAGCUAGCAGGAGAGAAUUCGUCAUCGUGUGGAAUGCAGGGGAAGCCACCAAUGGCCUAUCGGGAUGCUCCUUAUUUCCCAGAACUGGGGACUGGUAGUGGGGACUGAAUAAAGACACUCUGCAGAAGAACAACAGUGCUAUGUCCAGAGCUCACCACAUGGGUUGUGCCACAUGAUUUCAUUCCACCAUCAUACCGGUUCUGAGACCUUGGCUGUGAAGUUAGGUUGACUCCCAUUUUAUGGACGAAGAAACUGAGGUCAGAGUGGUUAAUGGACCAUGAAAUAAGUGGCAGAGAUUCGGAUCAAACCUAAAUCUAUUUAAGCCUGGAGCUCUUCUCACCAUAUCGCAUUGCCUCCGCAACUCUUCUAGCUGCCCUGGCAAGGGAACUCUGGCCAGGGGUGUCAACGUAAAGCAUCUCCUAUCAGUUUCAGCAAACCAAAUCUCAAGCUGCUUCCCACCGAUCCCUACUAAAUUCUGCUAGUUCCCUGAUGUUGGUGGCAGCUCUGUACUGAGUCGCAUGGGAAGACUGAGCUUGGAAUAAAAUCAUAAAACUCCAUGUAUUAAAAACCUUCUUCACAGGCUCUUUCUCCAUAAGCAAUGCAGACACUAACAAACACCCGAGACAAAAGGAGCUAUGUGCCACCAAAAGGAUGAUGAUGAUAAGUUGAUUCGUGAUAUGGUUACUGAUCAUAGACUCAAGAUCUAUUUCUCAGACCUAUAUUGGGCUCUGGGCUAAAUAUGAAAAAAAAAAAAAAAAAAGCAACCA